UAGGGAAUCUUCCACAAUGGACGAAAGUCUGAUGGAGCAACGCCGCGUGAGUGAAGAAGGGUUUCGGCUCGUAAAACUCUGUUGUUUAAAGAAGAACAUAUCUGAGAGUAACUGUUCAGGUAUUGACGGUAUUUAACCAGAAAGCCACGGCUAACUACGUGCCAA
rnacentral:rRNA from 1 species